rnacentral:lncRNA from 1 species
CUCUAUGUCAUUGGAAUAUCAAUAUUUCAGGCCUAUCUUUCUUCAGCUUAGGAGGCCUUCUGAGAGAAAUAUCAACACAGGCAUUUCUGUCAACUGACAUGGAAGUACUGAGUGGAGCAAAUUACCUAAAUGUAGUGGACCUAGAAGAACACAACUUGUUGCUAACAAAACCUUAUUGUCAUUUCCAAAAUAAGAACAAUAAACAGGAACUUCAAGGCAGGCAAUUAAAAUUUAAUUUGUCCUAUGAUGAAAAGUAAAUCCUUUUAUCCUGUGUCCGAAGUCUGAAGAGGUACAGACUCUAUUACAAAAUGAGACUGUGGCUGAAGGUUUCUUGGGCCCUCAUGACCCUGUGAUGUGAAAUGAUAAUAAUCCAAUCAAAGGAUUGCCAUAAAAAAGUCUGCACAUAAACGAUCGUGAGAGGAAAGACAAUGUCCAAGAGAAAGGGGUUGUUGGUCAUGCUCUACAUUAAACUUUUCAGAUGAAAGCUUCAUUUUUAUUUUUUGCAAUAGAG